rnacentral:rRNA from 1 species
GAUGAACGCUAGCUACAGGCUUAACACAUGCAAGUCGAGGGGCAGCAUGGAAGAAGCUUGCUUCUUCUGAUGGCGACCGGCGCACGGGUGCGUAACGCGUAUCAAACCUGCCUCAUACUCGGGGAUAGCCUUGCGAAAGUAAGAUUAAUACCCGAUGUUGUUAUGUUACCGCAUGGUGAUAUAACCAAAGAUUUAUCGGUAUGAGAUGGUGAUGCGUCCGAUUAGGUAGUAGGCGGGGUAACGGCCCACCUAGCCUUCGAUCGGUAGGGGUUCUGAGAGGAAGGUCCCCCACACUGGAACUGAGACACGGCCCAGACUCCUACGGGAGGCAGCAGUAGGGAAUCUUCGGCAAUGGACGGAAGUCUGACCGAGCAACGCCGCGUGAGUGAAGAAGGUUUUCGGAUCGUAAAGCUCUGUUGUAAGAGAAGAACGAGUGUGAGAGUGGAAAGUUCACACUGUGACGGUAUCUUACCAGAAAGGGACGGCUAACUACGUGCCAGCAGCCGCGGUAAUACGUAGGUCCCGAACGUUGUCCGGAUUUAUUGGGCGUAAAGCGAGCGCAGGCGGUUAGAUAAGUCUGAAGUUAAAGGCUGUGGCUUAACCAUAGUACGCUUUGGAAACUGUUUAACUUGAGUGCAAGAGGGGAGAGUGGAAUUCCAUGUGUAGCGGUGAAAUGCGUAGAUAUAUGGAGGAACACCGGUGGCGAAAGCGGCUCUCUGGCUUGUAACUGACGCUGAGGCUCGAAAGCGUGGGGAGCAAACAGGAUUAGAUACCCUGGUAGUCCACGCCGUAAACGAUGAGUGCUAGGUGUUAGACCCUUUCCGGGGUUUAGUGCCGUAGCUAACGCAUUAAGCACUCCGCCUGGGGAGUACGACCGCAAGGUUGAAACUCAAAGGAAUUGACGGGGGCCCGCACAAGCGAUGGAGCAUGUGGUUUAAUUCGAAGCAACGCGAAGGACCUUACCAGGUCUUGACAUCCCUCUGACCGCUCUAGAGAUAGAGUUUUCCUUCGGGACAGAGGUGACAGGUGGUGCAUGGUUGUCGUCAGCUCGUGUCGUGAGAUGUUGGGUUAAGUCCCGCAACGAGCGCGACCCCUAUUGUUAGUUGCCAUCAUUUAGUUGGGCACUCUAGCGAGACUGCCGGUAAUAAACCGGAGGAAGGUGGGGAUGACGUCAAAUCAUCAUGCCCCUUAUGACCUGGGCUACACACGUGCUACAAUGGCUGGUACAACGAGUCGCAAGCCGGUGACGGCAAGCUAAUCUCUUAAAGCCAGUCUCAGUUCGGAUUGUAGGCUGCAACUCGCCUACAUGAAGUCGGAAUCGCUAGUAAUCGCGGAUCAGCACGCCGCGGUGAAUACGUUCCCGGGCCU